rnacentral:rRNA from 1 species
AUUGAACGCUGGCGGCAUGCUUUAUACAUGCAAGUCGAACGGUAACAGGCCGCAAGGUGCUGACGAGUGGCGAACGGGUGAGUAAUGCAUCGGAACGUGCCCAGUCGUGGGGAUAACUACUCGAAAGAGUAGCUAAUACCGCAUACGAUCUAUGGAUGAAAGCGGGGGACCGUAAGGCCUCGCGCGAUUGGAGCGGCCGAUGUCAGAUUAGGUAGUUGGUGGGGUAAAGGCUCACCAAGCCAACGAUCUGUAGCUGGUCUGAGAGGACGACCAGCCACACUGGGACUGAGACACGGCCCAGACUCCUACGGGAGGCAGCAGUGGGGAAUUUUGGACAAUGGGCGCAAGCCUGAUCCAGCAAUGCCGCGUGCAGGAAGAAGGCCUUCGGGUUGUAAACUGCUUUUGUACGGAACGAAACGGCUCUGGUUAAUACCCGGGGCUAAUGACGGUACCGUAAGAAUAAGCACCGGCUAACUACGUG